rnacentral:hammerhead_ribozyme from 1 species
AUCCAGCUGACAAGUACCAAAUAGGACGAAACACGCUUCCUGGAU